rnacentral:lncRNA from 1 species
AUUAGACUUUUGACCCCAAUUUCACAGUCCACUGAACAUAGAAAAUGAAAGUGGGAGUUUCAGGUUAAAGUUUUUGGUCAAGGUAGUUUUUGAUGAAGCUGAAGUCCAAUCAACUUGAAACUUAGUACACUAGUUGCUUAUGAUAUGAUCUUUCUAAUUUUAAAGCCCAAUUACACUUUUGACCCCAAUUUCACGGUCCACUGAACAUAGAAAAUGAAAGUGGGAGUUUCAGGUUAAAGUUUUUGGUCAAGGUAGUUUUUGAUGAAGCUGAAGUCCAAUCAACUUGAAACUUAGUACACUAGUUGCUUAUGAUAUGAUCUUUCUAAUUUUAAAGCCCAAUUACACUUUUGACACCAAUUUCACGGUCCACUGAACAUAGAAAAUGAAAAUGGGAGUUUCAGGUUAAAGUUUUUGGUCAAGGUAGUUUUUGAUGAAGCUGAAGUCCAAUCAAAUUGAAACUUAGUACACUUGUUGCUUCUGAUAUGAUCUUUCUAAUUUUAAAGCCCAAUUACACUUUUGACCCCAAUUUCAUGGUCCACUGAACAUAGAAAAUGAAAGUGGGAGUUUCAGGUUAAAGUUUUUGGUCAUGGUAGUUUUUGAUGAAGUUGAAGUCCAAUCAACUUCAAACUUAGAACACACGUUCCCUAUGAUAUGAUCUUUCUAAUUUAAUUGCAAAAUUAUAUUUUUCAUCCCAAUUUCACGGUCCACUGAACAUAGAAAAUGAUAAUGGGAGUGGGGCAUCCGUGUACUAUGGACACAUUCUUGUUAUCAUAUGCAUCAACAAUGAAGAAAAAUCACAGAUUCAUAUAUUGAUCCUUUUACGUGGUUCCAAAAUAGAAGUUCAAAGAUUGAAAAGUUCACGGACGUCAGACCCCAGAUUUAGUACAUUCGAUAUAAAAUCUUUCUCAUCAUAUGCCUCAACAGAGAAUAAAAAUUUAUGGACGAAUCGACAAAAAAUAAUAAUUCAACAAUAUACCUGAUGAACACUGUUAGGAAAAGUCAACUUUUUUAAAGUAACUUUCGAUAUAAUGUAGCAUUGGGGUGUAUUUUCCGGAAUUUGCUGAGUAUGGCUGGAAUGCCAUGCGAUAACGUUACGGAAAGGCAUGUGAUAACAAUCAAAGCAUGUGAUAAACUUUUCAUAUCAGCCCGCUAAGCACCAAUUCGAAAAAUAUGGAGUUUACGUUAAUUUAAUGUUAUUAUCAUACAGUAAAAAUCAUAUGUUAUUCAGUUUAAGUAUAUGAUAAUUUAUUUAUCUAUUGUGCCUAACUGACUUACAGCCGAUUUCAAUGAGUGUGUAGACAAAGGUAAUAUCUUGGGUUAGCUUGCUUGCUAGUUGAACCGUGAAGUCAUUGUUAGGUUCGGUAAACAACCUCCUUUAAGAGUAGACUAGUCUGAUAGGUAACUAAUCUAUCUGUCUGUUUGACUAUGCUACAUGGAAAGGAGGAUAGUAUACCUGAGCUAAAAUAAAGUAAUUGCAGCACUUACUACUACUGCAGAAAUACUGUGAAAGAUCAUAUACAUAUCACCAAAUUUAGUUUCAUAUCGAUGAAUAAUGAAAUUUUCACUUUUAUUGUAGUUAAAUUGCAAUAUAGGAAUGAAAGAGUAAAUCGUUUAAGUGUUGAAGUUAACUAAAACAAUAUAAAUGAAAUGUAUUGAUUCAUUUUACAUCAUGUAAUUAUAAGAUUUGAUGUGUAUUUUUGGCAAAUAAAUGGUGUAAGCUAUUCAAUAUUUAUCAUAUUAACUUGUAAUGCUUGAUAAAAAGUAAAGAUGUCAUUGCUGUUGUUUUGAAGCUUGCCACAUAUCUUUGAUUUGCAUUUUUCUUCACUAGUCAAUUCUUGUAAAAAAUUGAGCAGUUGUAUUAUGUAAUGUGUUUGCUAUAAAAUCAUUGUUUUCAAUAGAAUAUUAUGUUAAUGUUUGAAAAUAUAAGCCAUAAUAACAUGUUUAAAUCAUGUCUCUGUAAACCAAUUUAAAAUGCAUAUAUUCAGCACAUUCCAAAUUUCAGUCAUGUCUGGGUAUUUGACAGUGUACUAAGUGGCAACACGAUUUAUUGUUUUCCAUAGAAGACAUAAAGUAACUACUUGCCUCUAGUAAAACAUUGACAGCUUAUUGUACAGUUCUAUUUCCAUAACCUUAUAUGAUAUGACAAUUGUAUCACUGAUAUUAUGAAUAUUUGUACUGUAACACUUGCAUUGCUCAUUAUUUGAAAGAAGGCAUUUAAAUGAACAAUAAAAGCAUUUCAAGAC